rnacentral:rRNA from 1 species
AUGGACAGUGGAGACGAGUUUUUCUACCAUCACUUCCUUUGUUCAUCGGACGAUUCGUCGUCGGAUGAUGACGAUCUUGUGGUGGCUGCACUGGUCGUUCACGACCAUAUUCAACGGCAGCUUCCUCGGUACAGGGGGUCAGUCCCUGGCCGUGCUCCCAACCUGAACCGCAACAGGGAGAGAGGCCACGCCCUGCUCUAUGCAGAUUACUUUGCCAACACCCCGCUCUUCAGGCCGGAUAAAUUUCGUCGCCGUUUUCGUAUGGCCAGGCAUGUGUUCAAUCGUAUCCGAGAGGGAGUGGUUGCUCAUGACCCAUACUUCGAGUGCAAGACGGAUGCCCUUGGCAAGCUUGGAUUCUCCUCCUACCAGAAAUGCACCGCGGCCAUCCGCAUGCUUGCAUAUGGAAUUCCAGGCGAUCUGGUUGAUGAGUAUGUGCGUAUGAGUGAGACAACAUGUCUGAUGUCAAUGUACAAGUUUUGCCAGGCUGUGAUCGAGGUCUUUGGCCCAGAGUACUUGAGGCAGCCAACUGCCGCUGAUACAGAGAGAUUGUUGGCGACCAACGCAGCUAGAGGCUUUCCAGUCUUCGCGAGGCUUGCAGAAGGCCACUCCCCACCUGUCAACUUUGAGAUCAACGGCCACCAUUACAACAAGGGAUACUAUCUAGCAGAUGGUAUAUAUCCUCAGUGGUCAACUUUUCUGAAGACAGUCUCGAAACCCCAAGGUGAGAAGAGAAAGAGAUUUGCCCAAAUGCAAGAGAGUGUUAGAAAGGAUGUGGAAUGUGCUUUUGGUGUGCUUCAAUCCCGGUGGGGUAUCGUUCGAAACCCUGCACUGUCAUGGGAUGAAAGGAAGCUUUGGGAGGUGAUAACUGCUUGUGUGAUCAUGCACAACAUGAUCGUCGAGGACGAGCGUGAUGAGAGUAUCUUCGACCAAGGAUUUGAUUAUCAAGGUGAAAAUAUUGAGCCCCUGCACCAAGACCCGGCCACAUUUGAACAGUUUGCCCAAUUCCACCGUGAGAUGCGUGAUUGGCACACUCAUGUGAAUCUUUAA